CCAUGUGAUAGCUGAGAAUUGAAC
rnacentral:piRNA from 1 species